rnacentral:rRNA from 1 species
AUUGAACGCUGGCGGCAGGCCUAACACAUGCAAGUCGAGCGGGGUUUUCGGACCUAGCGGCGGACGGGUGAGUAAUGCGUAGGAAGCUGCCCGAUAGAGGGGGAUACCAGUUGGAAACGACUGUUAAUACCGCAUAAUGUCUACGGACCAAAGCGUGGGACCUUCGGGCCACAUGCUAUCGGAUGCGCCUACGUGGGAUU